rnacentral:lncRNA from 1 species
AUGGCCAGUGUUCCCAGGCCGCGUGUUCAGUCAGCUCCCCUGGGCUCUGUGUGUGUGUGUGUGUGUGUGUGUGUGUGUGCGUGCGCGCGCACGUGCACUCGCGCACAUGCUCACAGGUGCCUGCACGCCCAGCCCCGGGCUGGGGUGAGGAUCCAGCAGCCAUCAGGACCGGACACAGGCAGGCCCAGCCCAGCAGCAGGGCCUCAAGGGCCCAUGGAGGGCCCAGCGCUGAUGGCCGAAGGGAGUGGGGGUCGGGGGCGAUGGGAAGCCGGCAUCAGGCUCUCGGUGCUCAUCUGUGUGGCUCUGCGGGUCAGAACUUCACCCCUCCUCCGGCCGAAGGGUGCAGGAUGGACAGUGGAAUUCAUUCCAUUUGGCCAAGAAGGGCCCGCUCCUCCCUGGGUGGACAUUUGCCUGCGCUCCUUACACUGAGCAUCGGAGCCCCCGCAGACCUUCAGGAUCUAUGAGACGAAAGCCGAGAGCUUACUAAGAGCUCAGAGCACCACUAAGGCAGAUGAGGGCAACGGCCCGGGUUCUGGGCUCUCUCGGUCACUACCAUGGAGACCGGUAUGUACCGACCUUGGUGUUGCAAAAUGCGCGUUCCGGGUCUGCCCAUGGUCGGCUGCCUCAGGGCCCGCACGGUCUGUUCCUCUGCCCGCCCUCCACCCCCUCCCUCCUCCUCCCUGCCCCCUCCUUAGAUCUUGAUGCCGAUAUCGCCUUCCCCAGAACACCUGUCGGCUGGGACCUGCGGGACCCCUGACCUCCGUCCAAGGUCACUGGGGUCUGGAGCCGUGGGAUGAGCUGUGCCUGGAAGGCCAUCUGCCCAGGGCCCAGGUCUCCUUUUCCCCAUUUUCCUCACGACAUGCUUGUGCCCGAGACUGACAAGUUCCAGACCUCUGGGGUCGCUUGGUGCAGAAAAAGACUACAUUUCCCAGCACACUUUGCAGCAAGAGCAUGCGACUGAGAUCCGGCCAAUGGGGUGUGAGCAGAAGAG